UACGUAGGGCGCGAGCGUUGUCCGGAAUUACUGGGCGUAAAGAGCUCGUAGGCGGUUUGUCGCGUCUGCCGUGAAAGUCCGGGGCUCAACUCCGGAUCUGCGGUGGGUACGGGCAGACUAGAGUGAUGUAGGGGAGACUGGAAUUCCUGGUGUAGCGGUGAAAUGCGCAGAUAUCAGGAGGAACACCGAUGGCGAAGGCAGGUCUCUGGGCAUUAACUGACGCUGAGGAGCGAAAGCAUGGGGAGCGAACAGG
rnacentral:rRNA from 1 species